GGAAUUUAAGCAUAUUAAUGAGGGGAGGAAAAGAAACUAACUAGGAUUCCCAUAGUAGCGGCGAGCGAAAAGGGAAGAGCUCAGCACGUAGGCCGACAACUGUUAUGGUUGUUUGGCGAUGCCGUGUUAAGGAGUGUCUAUUAUCUUGUGUCAAAAUAGUAUGUCCAAGUCCAUCUUGAAUGAGGCCAUGACCCAUAGAGGGUGCUAGGCCCGUAGUGACUGCUAUUGAUGCAAGAAGGCAUCUCCUAGGAGUCGUGUUGCUUGAUAGUGCAGCACUAAGAGGGAGGUAAACUUCUUCUAAAGCUAAAUAUUACCAUGAGACCGAUAGCGAACAAGUACCGUGAGGGAAAGUUGAAAAGCACUCUGAAUAGAGAGUCAAAAAGUACGUGAAACCGUUUAAGGGUUUAAACCUGAUGAACCUAAAUAUCUGAAUGAGGAAAUUCAGCAUUAUUGCGUCAGAUGAUGGCGUAAUGGUGUGCACUUUUCUUCUAGUAAGACGUUGCGAUCCAUUAGAAAAGUUAAAAUCUGUAUAUAGGCCCGGAUAGGAGUUUAUACAUUUAGCGAGUAACAUGGCUUUGUUGUUAUGUGAAUGCGUGUAAACUAUUUGGUGUUCUUACAGAUGUCUGAUGGUAUUAUGACUAAAUGUCACAUACAAUCUUCGGAUUGAUAUCUCUUGUGGAUAUAAUGUGUACAUUAUCGGCAACGUUUUAGAUUUAGGAUACCAUCAGGACCCGUC
rnacentral:rRNA from 1 species